GAUGAACGCUGGCGGCGUGCCUAAUACAUGCAAGUCGAGCGAACGGACGAGAAGCUUGCUUUUCUGAUGUUAGCGGCGGACGGGUGAGUAACACGUGGAUAACCUACCUAUAAGACUGGGAUAACUUCGGGAAACCGGAGCUAAUACCGGAUAAUAUUUUGAACCGCAUGGUUCAAAAGUGAAAGACGGUCUUGCUGUCACUUAUAGAUGGAUCCGCGCUGCAUUAGCUAGUUGGUAAGGUAACGGCUUACCAAGGCAACGAUGCAUAGCCGACCCGAGAGGGUGAUCGGCCACACUGGAACUGAGACACGGUCCAGACUCCUACGGGAGGCAGCAGUAGGGAAUCUUCCGCAAUGGGCGAAAGCCUGGCGGAGCAACGCCGCGUGAGUGAUGAAGGUCUUCGGAUCGUAAAACUCUGUUAUUAGGGAAGAACAUAUGUGUAAGUAACUGUGCACAUCUUGACGGUACCUAAUCAGAAAGCCACGGCUAACUACGUG
rnacentral:rRNA from 1 species